AACGAACGCUGGCGGCAGGCUUAACACAUGCAAGUCGAGCGCCCCGCCAGGGGAGCGGCAGACGGGUGAGUAACGCGUGGGAACGUACCUUUUGGUUCGGAACAACUCCGGGAAACUGGAGCUAAUACCGGAUAAGCCCUAACGGGGAAAGAUUUAUCGCCGAAAGAUCGGCCCGCGUCUGAUUAGCUAGUUGGUGAGGUAAAGGCUCACCAAGGCGACGAUCAGUAGCUGGUCUGAGAGGAUGAUCAGUCACACUGGGACUGAGACACGGCCCAGACUCCUACGGGAGGCAGCAGUGGGGAAUAUUGGACAAGGGGCGCAAGCCUGAUCCAGCCAUGCCGCGUGAGUGAUGAAGGCCUUAGGGUUGUAAAGCUCUUUUGUCCGGGAAGAUAAUGACGGUACCGGAAGAAUAAGCCCCGGCUAACUUCGUG
rnacentral:rRNA from 1 species